GAGGAUGUUGCUUCCUCAAUGUGGAUGGUUGUGCUUGUUGGUGUGUCCUCCAAGGGAAUAUUUUCAAGUUCAGUGCUUAUGCUUGUAUUAUUUAGUGUCUGCCAUUUUUCUGCCAUCAGAUGAGUGGUAAUAUUUCUAUCUUCUUGAUGUUUUUCUUGCUUUAGCAACCGAGUGCCUUUUGGCCCAUCCUUACCCUCUUCUGUGUUGUUUUCUGCUUUUUUCGGGUCCAAAUCCUCUUGCAGUUCACCAUGCUCUAGAACAUUUUCAUUGGCCUCCAUUUUCGAAUUUUCACCCGUCUGAAGAUCAUCAGAUAUCUUUUUAUCAUGAUAGACUGAACUGGAUUCAGUAACCACCGUCAAGUUCUCAUUAUAUCCGUCCCUUUCACUUUCCAGUGCGCCCUGAAUGAAGCUUUUAUCCUUUAUGACAGCAGCUUCUUUGCUGACGGAGUUCCCUGUGCUUCCUUUACUUCCAUGUAUUUUAUUCAGCCAUUUUCUUUUAGUCUUCUUUAAAUAGCGAUCUCUUUCCAGCCUAUUUUGCCAAAUCUGGGGUUGGUCUGGCAUUUCUAACUUCAUUCCGCCCUUGUAAGUAAUCACAGCAUCUUGAUUUUCAGCACCUUGGGCAUUAACUAUUUUCCCUGCAAGACCAUCCCCUGAUGUUUGAAGCACUUUACUCUGAGUAGUUUGCAUUUCAUUCAUAUCAUCUGAGGCCCCUUGCACUUCAGCAUCAUGGUUCCCAACAGCCUCAGUCCUUGCAAUGUCAUUAUUUUCUGGCACUACUAAAGCUUCCCCACUUUGAGACUUAGUAUUGAUGUUCUUACCUGCAUCUCCAUCAGUUCUUUCCCCAGCAGGGGUGCUUCUAUCUUCCGACAUACUUUCUUCUGAAUCAUCCACUUUAUGACUCUGUUCUCCAAUCUCUUCUCUGCUUGCAACAUUAGUUUCUCCAUUCUCCAUUCCAUCUUCACUUGGUGUUGUUUGUUCUUCAUUUUCACUGAUCACAGCUUUGCUUCUGCCGCUCUCUGCUUGUUCUGUUGAGCUGUCUGCAACUUCAUGGUUUGUGGAUUCAUUCAUCAUGGCACUAACUUGCUUUCCAUCAUUAGCAUUUGCUUGAUCCCUUUCUGUCAAACUUGUCUUGGUUUGCAGAUUUAUAGAUGCAUUUGAUGGAUCGUCUGUGCUCACCGACCAGAUCCUGACAGGAGCUUCAAGAUGGUUCUUCAACUCCUCAACUCCCGAUUCUUUCUGCUUUGCCAUCUGUGAUAGGGCUU
rnacentral:lncRNA from 1 species